GAUGAACGCUAGCGGUAGGCUUAACACAUGCAAGUCGAGGGGCAGCAUGGUCUUAGCUUGCUAAGACGGAUGGCGACCGCCGCACGGGUGCGUCACGCGUAUGCAACUUGCCUCCCAGAGGGGGGUAACCCGUCGAAACACGGACUAAUACCGCGUCCACUCUAUUUUGGGCCUCCCAGGCAGAGGUAAUGAAAUUCGCUGUGUGAUAGGCCUGCGUCCCAUUAACCAGUUGGUGAGGUCACGGCUCACCAAGGCGACGAUGGGUAGGGGAACGGAGGGGUUGGACCCCCACACUGGUACUGAGACACGGACCAGACUCCUACGGGAGGAAGCAGUGAGGAACACUGAUCAACGGGCGAGAGCCUGAACCAGCCGAGUCGCGUGAAGGAUGACUGGCUUAUGGAUUGUAAACUUCUGUUGUAGGGGAAUAAAGCGGGGCACGGGGGCCCCAGUGAAUGUACCCUACGAAUAAGCAUCGGCCAACUCCGUG
rnacentral:rRNA from 1 species